CUUGACAAACACCAAAUCAUUCAAGCGAUUUUGAGCUAGUAUAUUUCUUUUUUUACCGUGAAUUUGCAAAAUAUAACAAUUUUAAUAAGUAUAAUUUUUGAAAGAACAAAUGAAAGGUAUAAUUCUAAAGGGAGAUAUUUUGUCACUUACAUGCUCAAAGAUGCUCCAAUUACGCUCACAACCAGAUGCACUACAAGUGAGGCUAAGCACUUUAACAGCAAAAUUUCUCAAAUUUGGAGUUGUUGCUCCAUAAGUU
rnacentral:misc_RNA from 1 species